AUUGAACGCUGGCGGAAGGCUUAACACAUGCAAGUAGAACGAGAGGCGGACGGGUGAGUAAGGCUUGGGACUCUAGCUGAUGGAGGGGGAUAACUACGGGAAACUGUAGCUAAUACCGCGUACCAUAGGAGGAGACCAAGUGGUAUUAGGUAGUUGGUGAGGUAAAGGCUCACCAAGCCGAAGAUCUCUAGCUGGUCGGAGAGGAUGACCAGCCACACUGGUACUGAGACACGGCCCAGACUCCGACGGGAGGCAGCAGUGGGGAAUAUUGCGCAAUGGGGGCAACCUGACGCAGCCAUGCCGCGUGAAUGAAGAAGUCCUUCGGGUUGUAAAGUUCUUUCGGUAGCGAGGCGUUAACUACAGAAGAAGCACCGGCUAACUCCGUGCCAGCAGCCGCGGUAAUUC
rnacentral:rRNA from 1 species